AUAGACGACCCUGACAAUGAAGAACACCGUCUCCCCUUUGGGAGAAAAACUCUAUUUUCUGAUUCUGAACUGACUCUUUUAGCUUGACAAGGCUAUAAUCCUUAUCUUUAUUUUCUUUCACCUCAGAAACUAGAGAUGAUUCUGAACUACUCGGAACACAUACACCGCCCUCUGAAGAGUUGGCUAAGCGAAUGCCUAGUCUAGCAAGCUGGUGUACUUCAUGAGCUAACUUCU
rnacentral:lncRNA from 1 species